CACAAGGGUUGGAAACAAAAAAACACAGGACACACGGGUACGUAUGCAUCGAAGGAGAGCCGGGGUACGGCCGCCGCCGCCGCCGCCGCCACCUGCGGAUGGUCUUCCUGUCCGGCCAUCCGCGCAGCCCACGCGGGCGAGCUGCCGAUCUGGCUGGGCUGCCUGGCCACGCAGCGGACGGCAGCUGUUCGAGCAACUCCUCGACGCAGGGGAAAAGGUUGGCGGCGCUGGAGUUCGUCGGAACGGGCAGGCGGCCGGUGGGUGACGCGAGGCCGCGGCGCCGGCGCGAGGAAUACGGGCGGAUCCGGGGGCGGCAGCGACCGAUCUGGCUGCUGGUGCGGCGGCUUGCUCCGGCGGCGGCGGCGUCCUGCUCAUUCAUAGAAACAGAGACACGGCGUGAGGGAGAGAGGAAGAAAGGAGAAGGAGCAGGGGGCGCAAGGUCAGGGAGGCUGUCGCUAGCGGUGGCGGCUCCGGCGACCGGCCGGCGGGCUUCCCAGGCAAGGCUAAGGAGUACGCUAGCCUGAGAUUCAAUAGAGACACGGUGAUUCUGGUCGGAGUGGUGGCUACGUGAUUCUGGCCGGCGUGCAUCCAUAGUCAGAGGAUGCCGAGCCUUCCUCGCUGCCAGCAACAUCAGCUCGUCUCGGCAUGAGAGGGGAAGAUAGCCUUCCUGGCAGUUAGAGCUUCGUCACUUGGAAGGUAGACAAGCAAUGCAAGCCAACAAAGAAAAUUAGUUAGGGAAGCACCGAGUUCGCCGGGAGGUAGCAGAACGUUUGUCGAGCCAUCCAAUAUCGCCAACGGUGGCUACACCAGAGAGUUUACAAACAAGUGUGAAACCUAUAAUGAUGAGUGAUGAUUAUGGUAUGAUUACUGGAUCAAUAAUUCAUAGCAAGGAAGCUAUUUUACUGGAAAAAGUAAAUCCAGUAUUAAACUUAGUAAAUUGUUGGGUAGAUCAGGUUAGAUGCGGCUUAAACCUUCGCCGCUCCCUGCCAUUUAGUACUGGUUGGAGUCUGUUUGAGCUGACCAAUGUGGAGCAGAGUCGCAAUGGAGAUACCCAGUCUCACAUGCUUUAUUCUACUUCUUGUAGUAUAACAGAGCUUGGUUGUAGCUAACUGUGCCCUCAGUCAGUCCCUUAAGAUUUUGUGUAUUUAGAAAUUUAUUUAGAGAUGGUAAAAUAAAGAUCUUGAUGUAUUGACGGUUUGCGGUA